UACAAUUAUGUUACGUAACUAGUAUAGUAAGCUUGUAAUUAGAUUCGUUUAAUGUUGAUUCUAAUAUUAGAAUGUAAUUGAACUGGUGUCAGUGGGUGGACAUGUUCUAUAUUAGGAUCUAUUGAGAAUCUGUUGACGUGCAGUUAGUAAUCACUGUCUGUAAUAGCAAGUGGUUGAAAUUAAUACGGCUUCGAUCACUGGGAUUAAUGCUGAUUAGAAGUUGUUUGCAGAAAUUGUUGUUGUCGUUGGACGAUGUUAAUUUAGGUUACGUGUUUGGGAGAAUUAGAGAACGCUUUGUAGGUGCCAAACUCGUAACCUGAAACCAAGUCAACACAUGGUCAGAAUAAAGACCAUAGAGAUGGAGAAAGAUAAAAAGAAAACACGUACGGCUUGAUGGCCGAAAUUUCGACACGAAACAAAUCGAGGAUCAUUCGACGUGUAUCUGGUUAAUCGUCCGAGGAUUAAACGUCCGUCGCGGUGUCGUUAUGAAUAUUCAUAGAGUGGUCUUUUGUCGGUAAGCAAGAUUUGGAAAAGCAAGGUAGUCGGCGUCGUUCAAAGAGAUAUAUCGAGCCACGAGUUUACCUAGACACCGGUUUCUAGACGAACACUGCUUCUGCCCUGCCCCACCACGACAAGAUUUGUGCAUUAGGCAGAGUGAAUUCUUGUGCUCGGUGUUGGUUUUUAAUGAACGUAGAAUUAAAUGGUACAAGGAGAAAGUCGAAGCAAAUGGUCGGAUAAGGUUUGACGUUGUUGGUUGGAAUUUUUAAAUGAGUGUGUUUCACUUUAUAGCAUUUGAAGUAAUAUAUGUAUAAUUAAGUACUUUUAGUAGCAAUUAAGGGGUUGUUUGCAAUUGUAAAAUUUCAACAUUUUACGACAUGCAAAUUUCUGAUUUCUGUAAAAGGAAAUUUUUUUUAGAGGAACGAUGAAAUAAUUUAAAUAAUUUUUGUUAUUUAUUAAAAUGGACGUAUUUCGUGAUUAUUAAAUAAAGAAUAUCUUCACAUGGUAGAAAUCGAAACGUGCUCGUUCCAAAAUUUCAGCUAAAUAUUUACUCAACAUUUCACAGUGUUUAACAUUUUCUCAUAAGAAAUAUAUUUAUUUGAAAAACUAAAUCUUCCAAAACAUCUUCA
rnacentral:misc_RNA from 1 species